ACCUCUUCUUCCUAUACACCAUUUUUAGAGCAUACAAACCCAAUACACACAAAAUACACAAAAUACACCUAUAUUGGAGCUUAUAUUCGAGUUUAAAAGCUAGCUUGGAUCUUUAUUGGAGUUUAAAGCUUGAAAUUUGAAGCUUAUAGCUUGAAGCUCGGAGCUUGGAGCUUUAUUGGACUUCUUUAUUAAGGUUAGAUUUCAUAUUUUCAUGGCAUCUUUCAUCUUUUCUAAAUUAACAUCCCCUAGUAAGCCCAUU
rnacentral:lncRNA from 1 species